GUUCUUUCUCACUACUUGAGACUCACGAGGGAGAAAUAUGAAUGGGCAAGUGGCAUCAAAAUUGGCACCUACAAAUCAAGAUUGCUCCCAGGUGGAUGAACCUGUGGUUUUUUUAUUUGCAUGCACACUCUACUAGGACCAGCAGCCCAGUGUUGAGCAACCUCAACAAGAGGAACCACCAGCUGAGAUUCAGGAUAUCACACCUGGAAAGGAGGAAGUACAUGGAGAGGAUCCAGUGAAUCAUGAUGA